ensembl:lncRNA
GGAAGCCAUCCUGAAACACACACAUCCAAACAAAACCACAACACAGAAACUGGGGCACAUAACAAUUUGUUUGUUUCAGUGUGUUGUUCCACUCUCUUUACCAUCUGACACUUUGUCCCUGUUGAUCCACAUACCUACCCUGCUUCUGGAGACCCGGGGAGUCUCCUGACCAGAGGGCUUUGACUCCCCAGGAACGUCUUCACCACUCUGGGUUGUCCCAAUCCUGUUGGUCUGAGACCACUGAUGUCUACUCUCUUAAUAGGAACGAGGAGCUCUAAAGUAGCUGAAACCACCUCUCGGAUUGGGUAUUGCCUCACUUGAAAGCCUGGAGCCAAUCGUUCCAGUCUGGUUAUAAUCACUAUGACAACCCUGGCUACCUGUCAGUUACGAGUUCUACCUCUGUCUCGUGUGCUAGUUUGCCUAAUUUGUCUAAUUUGCUUGAUUUUGCAUUGGAUUGGUUUGUUUGAGUAUUGUUUCACUCUCUUUACCAUCUGUCACGUUAUCCUUGUUGAUCCACAAAGUCACCCUGUGUCUGGACUCCUGACUCCAGCAGAGCAGGGAGCCCCAAGCAGUCCAACAGCUCCAGGGAGACUCUUAACCAGAGGACUUGGACUCCCCAGGACUGUCCCCAUUGCUUUUUAACUCCUGAGGAUGAUGUGUUGUACUAGUUAAAUAAAAUGUAACAUGUGAACAACCACCAGGUUCUUCCUGGAGUCCCGGGACAUUCCCUGCCGCUCUGCAACUCAUGUGGACAAUGAAGAGGUUGAGAUCUCUGCAUUCCUACAAGAGACUGAGAGUUGAGUCUCAGUCCAACAAUAGGAAGAGGUGCCACUGCCUGGGGUGUGACGCAGAGGACUGGCCUGCCAGGAAGAGAGCCAGGAAUGAAUGUCCAAUUGGCUCUCAUGGGGCCAUGAGGCACAUUAAUAGAACACAAAAUAGGCACCAGUAUAGAGCUGGAUCACAGUACAACAAGACAUUCAUAAUAAAAUAUUGUGACAUUUUUUCCCUUAGAUUUCUGCCUGAGAAAUGCCAUCCAAUACAAUAACUACAACACUUCAAUCCAAUGCAGGAUUAUCUUAAUAAAAAGGUCAAUGUUUUUUCUAUUAAACUACAAAAAUGAUUUUUGACUAGGCAUGACUACACAAUACUGUCCAAAUGAUAUAAUAAUGUAUCUUUAUUUUGUCUGAUGAAUAAGGGUUUUAUAUGUGUGUGUGUAUCAGGAUUUGGGAGUAACUAAAUUCAUGUAAUCCAGUUACAUGUAAUAUGAUGGUUUUUUUAUUAUUAUUUUUUUAAACCUGUAAUCAAUUACGUUGACACCAAC